rnacentral:Y_RNA from 1 species
GACUGGUCUGAAAGUAGUGAGUUAUCUCAAUUGAUUGUUCACAGUCAGUCACGGAUCAAACUCCUUGUUCUACUCUUUCCCCCCUUCUCACCACUGCACUUAAUGAAUAGUCUUUA